rnacentral:rRNA from 1 species
GCAGCGAAAUGCGAUAAGUAAUGUGAAUUGCAGAAUUCAGUGAAUCAUCGAAUCUUUGAACGCACAUUGCGCCCGCCAGUAUUCUGGCGGGCAUGCCUGUUCGAGCGUCAUUACAACCCUCAGGCCCCCGGGCCUGGCGUUGGGGAUCGGCGGAAGC